GCAAGCGAAUCCUACCGGAGGUGAAUUACAACGCAGGACGAAGAGCAUCUUCAUCGAUCUUCAGACAAAUCUCCAGCUGUUAAGGAGGAGCUGGUGAGGGAAAAUGCCCUCACUGUUGUCCGUCAAAGAGGAGGAGAUGCCUCUGACCAAAUGGAGGUCCUGGGAGAGUACACACUGCAGUUUGGCAAGUACAAGGCAAGAGUUUCCGUUGACUUCUUGAAAAUGAUGUGGGUUAUACAGUUUAGAUGAUCAAGGGCCAGCAAAGAGAGGAAGCAGGGAACAGGUCCAGUCACAGGGACACAACAAGGACAGUCUGAUGUCCUUUGUCAAAUACACCCUCAGCUUCAGCCAAAUCCAGUCCCUCACUGACCUUGAGUUAAACAGGACUGGCAGGGAAGUUUCAGCCGCUGCGUCAGAAGAUGAGCGGCUGGUUGACUUUGACUCUCAAGCCAGAAGCACCUGGAGAGACAUCUGGGAGAGCAGGAGUGAUGGCUACGCAGCUUUCAUCCUGAAGAGAAGAUGUGCUGCAGGAACAAAGAUGCACAAGUUGCAGCAGGAAGAAUCUGCAUCUCCCAAGGAAUCAGGCCAGAGACCUGAAAUUCCUGCCUGCAACUCUCUCCAUCCCAGCAGGAUCAGAUGUGCAGGAAAAAGGUUUGCUGCUUCUGCAAACACAAAUAUUUCAGCAGUUUAUUUGUCUGGUUCUUAA
rnacentral:lncRNA from 1 species